GCCCUGGAGCAAGCUUUUUGUGAUGCUUCUAUGGCACCAUCUGCCAACUGGAAAAAUGACCCUGCUCUGCACACAGACCUGUGUUCCUGUGGGCGGAGACCCCUCUGUCAGUUCUCAGAUGGGGAACCUGGAGCAUAGAGGGGGAAGCCACAGUUUCUUCAUUUACAAGGAUUACAGUCACCUUGCCAGUGAGUCACAAAAGCAAGCAAGCAGUCCCAUCUGAUGUGCAAAAGGCAGACGUGAAGGCAGGUGCUGGAGCUGAGAGCACAUAGAAGGGGCACCCAGCCCAGGAAAGCGAUAUUCACAGGAAGAAUUGAGGACGGUGUAACAGAUCACCUGAGAAGCAGGGAAGAUUAGAUUUUAAAUGAUGAUGGAAGAACACUCAGCAUAUUCUGGAUAUUAGAGAACUGAGGAAAUAAAGACAUGAGUCAACUUCCCAGCAAUGGGCCCAUCCAGGGUAAACUAGACAUCUAUUCAUCAGAGAGAAGAGGUGAUGAUGCAUUGCUGCCCCCACUUCUCAACAAACUCGGCAACUGAUUCACGGCUAUGGGAUGAAAUCCAAAAACCAAGGGGAUUCUCAUUCUUG
rnacentral:lncRNA from 1 species